AUCCACACACACUUGAACAUCUCCCUGACCUGCUCAAGACUAUUCAGAUCUACAAAGUAGGUGCCAAACUCUGUGCUAUGGCCCCAACCACCCAGGCCAGGGCUGUUUCCAACCCAGGAGCCCUCAAGUGAUGGUGAAGGAUGACAAGGCCCCUGAUGCAGAAGAAGAGCCAUUUUAUUAGGAGAAGCUGCUCCUCUGGCCUCACCCAUCAAGCAGAGAAAUUUGCAGGCUUCCAGGGGAAUGGGUGCAGUCACCAAGGACCAGGUGGAUCCUCUCCUGCUUAUCUCUCACAGCUAAGAUUUCUGCAGUGAUGUUCAGCUUCACAGCCAGCCUCAACAGACUUGUACCGACCAGAGGCCUGCAAAGGAGACAGCCCCACUGGCAACAGGCUGACUGCUUUACACAAUUUCAUCUUCAUCACAACCCUAAGACAUGGGCACCUGUUACCUGCAUUGCACAGGUGAGGACCACUGAUCAGGGGCCUAAAAAGGAGACAGCCCCACUCCAC